UACGUAGGGGGCAAGCGUUGUCCGGAGUACUGGGCGUAAAGCGCACGCAGGCGGUCUCUUAAGUUUGGAGUGACAGUUGGUGGCUUAACUGCCAAAGUGCUUCGAAAACUGAGAGACUUGAGGGCUUCAGAGGGACACGGAAUUCCGGGUGGAGUGGUGAAAUGCGUAGAGAUCCGGAGGAACACCAAAGGCGAAGGCAGGUCUCUGGGCAUUAACUGACGCUGAGGAGCGAAAGCUGGGGAGCGAACAGG
rnacentral:rRNA from 1 species